rnacentral:rRNA from 1 species
UCGCUUAUUGGUAUUAUAAUAGGUCUGGCCUGCCCACUGAAAAUUUAUUGAAGGGCCGCAGUAUUUUGACUGUGCAAAGGUAGCAUAAUCAUUAGUCUUUUAAUUAAAGGCUGGAAUGAAUGGUCGGACGAAGUAUAAGCUGUCUCAUUUAAAUAAAAUGAAUUUAACUUUUUAGUGAAAAGGCUGAGAUGUAAUUGGAGGACGAGAAGACCCUAUAGAGCUUAAUAAAUUUGGGAUAAUAUUAUUUAGAUGAAUAGUGAUAUUAUUUAUAAUUUAUUUUGUUGGGGUGACAUAAAGAUAAAAUAACUCUUUUUAGAUUAAACAUAGAUGCAUGAUUUUAAGAUCCGUUAUUAGUGAUAAAAGAUUAAGUUACCUUAGGGAUAACAGCGUAAUCUUUUUAGAGAGUUCUAAUCGAUAAAAGGGUUUGCGACCUCGAUGUUGGACUAAGGUAAAUUUUGGGUGCAGUUAUUCAAAUUUUAGGUCUGUUCGACCUAUAGUUUCUUACAU